rnacentral:lncRNA from 1 species
CGGGCUUGUGCCCGCUGCAACCUAGACAGGUCAUGGUGCAGAAGUCCGAUUUAGUGGCGAGGUCCAAGGUUCAAGACAAGGCUCAAGAUCCAAGGCUCGAGGAGGAGCGCCAUGGCUCCUCGGUUUGCACGAACUGGCAGUGCUCCACUACUAUAACGCGGCGUUUCCCUAGCACGAUAUGUUAGGUGUGCAGGCUUGGAUGUAGUGGACUUUGAAGAGCGGCCUAGGACUUGGAGGUUGUAGUUUCGGAGGUUGUGACUCUUUCGUGGUGAGGCGUCAGCGUGAGGGGGGCGGGCCCUCUCGCCCUAGUCACCUUGCCCCGUUAAUCUAUGCCAGGCCCUAUGGGCCGGCGUUGUAAUUAUUAUUAUUAUUCUUGCCUUCGUGCCGCGCAGGGGGCGUGCCUUCCGUGGCGCCACUGCCUCGCUGCCAGCCCGGCAGCGUCGCCCCAUAAUAAUAAUAAUAAUAAUUACAACGCCGGCCCAUAGGGCCUGGCAUGGAUUAACGGGGCAAGGUGACUAGGGCGAGAGGGCCCGCCCCCCUCACGCUGACGCCUCACCACGAAAGAGUCGCAACCUCCGAGACUACAACCUCCAAGUCCUAGGCCGCUCUUCAAAGUCCACUACAUCCGAGCCUGCACACCUAGCAUAUCGAGCCAGGGAAACGCCGCGUUAUAGUAGUGGAGCACUGCCAGUUUGUGCAAACCGAGGAGCCAUGGCGCUCCUCUUCGAGCCUUGGAUCUUGAGCCUUGUCUUGAACCUUGGACCUCGCCACUAAAUCGGACUUCUGCACCACGACCUUUCUAGGUUGCUGCGGGCAUAAGCCCGCAAUUGCCACUAAGGGCAAUUACCUAUCGUUCGUGGGAUCACCAAUCGGUUUCGCACCAAUCUUUCGCCUUUUGCAUAAUUGGGCUUUUAUCCGGAUUCGUACCCGGGUCCCUUCUGCCGUAAGGACGAGUCAAAUCGCUAACUGAGUUAGCGAUC